GAUCUGCUUGUAUCCUUGCAGUUUGUCCUGUCUUCAUCAAAGCCCAAGAUUCCAGAGAUAGAAUGAGGCUAUAAGAGAGAUGGUAAACCUGAAUACUGAGGAAUUUAUGACAUGAAUUUCAAAUGCAAGAAGCUAAUUUUUCCUUGAGGAAGCACAAGUGCAGCGUUCCCAAUCAAGCUGCAGAGAUGCCUUUGUGAAACACCUCAGUCAGUCACACAUCAAACACGAUCAGCCUGUGGAUGGGACUGCAGGAGCAGGAUGCGGCGCUCACAGCCGGCAGGAGCAGGGACUCCUCCAGGGCAGGAAUUCAGAGCUGUUGGGUCGCUUUCUGCGGAGUCUCACCCCAUUCGCUCCCAGCUGAUAACUCAGCAGGAUGCUGAAGUUUAACCUGAUUUCCAGCCACCAAAUCAACGUUUGAAUGCAAGCCUGACUUGAACAGACAGAAGAUAAUUGCGUUUAAUAAGCACGUGUGAAAUGAGAUGUUGGAGGCUCUGUGGUGAGAACACAAACAGACCCUUGAGAGAACAAUGGCAGAAUUGAGCGAUAACUGCACCCUCCCAUCCGCAGCUCUGCCACUCAUCUCUGCAGAGGAAAGGAAGUGGCAUCAAACUGUCCUUUCAAAAUGAGUCUGCGUUUAUGAUUCAGCGCUGUGCAGCAGCCCCAGGGCCAGCCCAGUCUUUCAGCUCCUAGUGGAGUGACUCCAUCAGAAUACCCAGUGCUGAACUCCUUUGCAUGUGUGCAUGAAGGCAGAAAGCACAUUGAUUUUCCUCCCAAGGAUAAGGGAAACAAAGCAUUUCUGAGGAAUUCAGCAGCGUUCCCUGGGAUGGUGGUGCCUUGCUUUGGCUCUCCAGCUGCUCCCCAGUGGAUGGAAAUGCUCCUGUGUGAGGAUGAGAGGCAGCGCUCCCAGAACACUGAGGAACAACAGGGGGCUGCACACAGAAAGGAGAUUUCAUCAUCUUCCAUCUGCAGCCCUUUAAUAUCAAGAGACUUCCACAAAACUUGA
ensembl:lncRNA